GGCGGCGCCGUUGAGCGGCGAGUGGACGGACCUGCGCGCCGUGGCGAAGGCGAGGGCCUUGAGCCAGGUGGUGCCGCUCUUGGGGAAGCUCGCCAGGAGGAUGUCGGCGGGCCGGCGCUCCACGAACAAGGCGUGGGCUCUCGGGAGGUUCAGCAGGAAGCCGGUGGGGACCCAGAACCCGCGGUACAGACGGACGGAAGGAAAAAUCGAGCACGGUGGCCCUCUUGGAAGAGACGCCACGAUCUCGGCGAAGUUCGCCGGGAAGACGUCGUCGUCGGUCACUGCCGGGGACUCGUCACCCUGCUUGCUCUCCAUUAGUGCUUCGUGUUCGUGUUUGCAUGUGCCUCCAUGCAUUUGCAAUGCAAGCCAUCGCCAUAUAUAUAAAAACAAAAUAGCCCAACAAUGAUGAUGCUCCGCUGCGCCAUCGUUGAUUGGCUCAAAAGCGAACAGGACAAGAAAGGGAAUAGCUGAAAACAACGGAUGAUGAACCGUCCUGAGCAGUGGUUGAAAUGUUGCAGAUGGAAACAAUGGAUGAACACGACGGGGAACAGCGAUUGCACAGUGAACAGUAACGACGAUCGGUCGUAGUCACGUGCAGUGGUGAGCAGCUGCAUUUGUGGAGAUGAAGGCCUUGUGUAGUUGCAAAUUUUUUUGCAAAAUAGAUAUCGUAACACUUUCGUUUGUAUUUAAUAAAUAUUAUCCAAUUCUGGAUUAACUAGCCUGAAAAUAUUUAUCUCGUAAAUUACAGGAAAAUUGUGCAAUUAGUUAUUUUUUAUCUAUAUUUAAUGCUCAAUGCAUGUGCUGCAAGAUUCUAUGUAACGAAAAAUUUUGAAAAUAUCCGUAAUUUUUUUGGGAAGUAAACAAGGCCGAAGUUGUUUUGGAAAUGUUUUUUUUUUAUUUUUCUUUUUCUUUUUCUUCUCUAUUUCAUUGUCCUUAUCCACUUGUAGGGAGAGCAAGCGGGCGACUUGGUUUUUUCAGCUCCCUAGGUCUCGUCCAACUCCAGGGAGCUUGGUAGGAGCGAAGUCAUUUGAUCCUGUUUGGUUGGUGGAAACCCGAAAUUGCACUUAGACUAUCUCCAAUAGAAAACCCAUUAGAGAAUCUAAAUUUAAAAUAGGUCUCCAACAUAAUACAACCUUCAAUAAAGUAACUAUAAGAAGACCUAUUUUUAGUAAGAGAAACAUAACUAAAAUUCGGAUAUCCUAUCUCUUCAAGACCUAUUUGCAGAAAGUGUUAUCUUUUAAGUCUUGUUGGUAGAGAAGACUAAAAAUAGGUAUUGAAUCUUUUGCCUAUAGCACUACCCAAAGGACGAAUAGAUCUUGUAUUUUGGGUGACGAUUGUUGAAGAUAGUCUAAGCGCUACCAAAUAGCUAGCCUAAAACAACUCCAACUAAGGAGGUUCUUAAAAUGUGCUUUUCACAAGGAUGGAUGGAUGGAGGUGAAACUAGUAGCUUCAUUCACCCAAUUAUAACGGGUGCACUCGGGAGUGACCCUGCGCUAGUGAAGGGUCGAGAUGGCGGACUAGAAGGGGGUGCGAAUAGUUUUUUCUAAAACUUGCGUGCCGGCUAAUCGAAAUAAAUGCGGAAUUAAAACUAUCGGUCUAGCCAAAACUACACCCCUCUAUCUAAGUUCUCUAGCACCUUGUAAAAGAUUCUAAACAAGCAAACAAAGUACCACCUUAGCAAGAGCUCACCUAACCAAUUCUAGAAGCAAGGUCAUACAAACCUAUGCCACUAGUACUUUGCAAACCGGAGGAGCUCCUACACAACUAGUAAGCAAAGGCACAAAGCUCCUAAAUUCACUAGCAAGCUCAAUAACAAGGCAAUUAAUGUCAAAUUAGAGAGCACAACUUAUUUAGCUAUACAAACUAAGCAAAGUGACUAGCAAUGUUACACAAACCAAAUUAGCCACGCAUGAGAACUACUUCUAGCUACACAAGCAAGAGGUAACUAGAAAGCUACACAAGCUAACUAAUUAUAAGAGUAACUACAUAAGCAUAAGUAUAAGAAUAUAAAAUACAAGUUUGUGUUAGGGACUUGUAAACCAAUGGAAAGAACAAUGUUGACAUGAUGAUUUUUUUCCCGAGGUUCACUUGGUUGCCACCAAGCUACGUCCCCGUUGAGACAAGCUCCAAGGUUGUUGUCGGUCCCCUUGCUAGUGGUGAUCUGCAAGUCACACUCUCUCACAUGGAGUGCUUACCACAAGCUCUAGCACUUGACCCGGCCGGACCACUUGUCGUCCUUCACGUCUCGCUCUACUAGAGUUGCUCUUCGCGAUCCCCACGGGGUGAGCAACAUACCCCUCACAAUCUCUUCUCUAGAGCACCGCACAAUCUCCUUGCAUGCUUCGACGGAGUCAUAAGCCACCAAGCCGUCUAGGAGGUGGCAACCUCUAAGACUAACAAUCACCACCGGCUUGCAACACGAACACCUAGUGCCACUCAAUGCAAUCUUGCAAUGCAACGUACUAGGAAUUACUCACUCGCUAGCUAUUGGUUUGCAAUCUAGCAAGCACAUGUGAGUUAGAGGGCUCUCAAGCAAGGACACAAAGUCCCCCAAGGUGCUUAGCCAUCGGCCAAAGCUGGCCACCACUUCUAUUUAUAGCCUCAAUGGCUAAACUAAUCGUUGCCCCUUAACUAGGCAAAACGUGUGGGUGUUGGAUGCUCCGACGCUAGGCGUCGGACGUGCCACCCAGUGUCCGACGCUCGCAAAGCUGCCACAUGUCACUAGCCGUGUGAACUCGACUGUUGCCGCUAAUGGCUAACUCGCAUGGGCACCACACCUAGUCACGUCGGAUGCUCCGAUGAUCCACACCGGAUGCAGACCCCCAGCACCGGGCGCUACUCAAAGAUGUCUACAAACUCGCAGGGCCGUUGGACGCGUCCGACGAAGGGUCAUCGGAUGCACCUUCAGCGUCUGAUGAGUUCUCAGACAAAACUCCACUGCUACAGUGUGAGUACUGGACGCUCUGACGCUAGAGCAUCGGACACUCCAAUGCACAAGUCAAGUUGCUCCUCACUACGCUGCAUACAUUGUACGUGGGUCUAGCUUCCAACACUAUCUGACCCAGCGUCUGACGGGUGUUUCUCGCUAAGAAACACUUGCGUGAAUUUUCAAAAACUUCCUCUGGUGCAAUGGAAAAUAAGCACUUCAUUUCCAUGAAAACGCCUGAAUCACGCCUCGCAAGCUCGGUGGGAUGGAGAGAGGAACCCAAACCCCUCUCUACCCUAAGAACUCCACCUCUUUUGUAAAUGUGCCAACACUACCAAGUGUACACCACCAUUGUGCAUGUGUGUUAACAUUUCAUAAAUAUUUUCCAAAGGAGUAAGCCUCUCAACUUGCCACGCCACUCAAUCCUAACACGUAUACAAAGUUAGAUCGCUCAAGUGGCACUAGACGACCGAUAUGCAAACAAGUUUGCCCCUCUUGAUAGUACGACAUCUAUCCUAAAUCUGGUCAUAAACUUCUAUACACACCUAUGACCGGUGAAAUAGAAAUGCCCUAUACCUCUGCCUUGCGCUUUCUAUUCCAUCUCCUCCAAUGUUGAUGCAACACAUGUGCCAACCAAUCACCAAAUGAUAUGAUCCACUUCAUAUCAUCACGUGACCGUAUUGGUUCAUUGAUCUUGAUCUCACUUACUCUUCUCCGUUGCCUUGGUCCAUCGGCGCUAAGUCUUGCUUAAGCUUCACCGUCACACGCGGUCCCUCGCUUCAAAGCCUCCGACUUUCCCUUCACACUUGCAACCGGUCCAUCAAGCCAAGCCUCGUCUUGAUCUUCUCUACCUUGGUCACAUGACUCCAUGUCAUGUCUCAUAUGCAAUGAGCUCCUUCAUCAUCACAUAAUCACCUGUGGACUAAUCUCAUGUGUAUCUCAUAUAAACACUAUUAGUCCACCUAAGUUGUCACUCAAUUAUCGAAACCAAACAAGGACCUUUCAGCUAGGAGUGAGCAACAUGGCCUUGUGGGAGCAAUGGAACAGAACCCUGAGAGGGCCUGGUGUCAUGUGGCUCUUUCUGUCUAUCAGGCUCCGCGCUCCUCACAAAUUCCAAAGGAAUAUUCUCGGUGUCAUUGGGAUGGAGAGCUAAGCCUGAGCAAGGCGCAUGACCACAUAGUGACCCUUGGUCGACUAUCAACUCCUAAGGUCAGGAAUCACUUAAGUCUAGCCGAGCCGCUGAAUGUGAGCGACUUGGGCGAGGACUUAUCCUCUUGGCUCAUUUUCUGAGCACUAGUCCUUCUCCUAGGGCAGGCAUUCUGAGGCCCAUCAAGUCAUUCAUUAAUGGGCCAAAGAGUGUGCAUAUGAGUGCACCCAAUGAGUGUAGCUCCCAAACCCUUGGUUGAUUAGGAGAAUCAAAUUGGGGUUAAUUAUAUUGUCACGACACUAAUCCGAAGGUUUGUGCUACCCCUAGUUUAAUACUCAACAUGUCUUUUAUAAGGAUGUCCUCACAAGAACCUAGUUCGUGGAUGGGUAACUCCGUGGUUAACUCACAUGUCUUCCCCACACGUAAGUAGAUCUGUUUAUAGCCUCUCCACUAUUGUAUUCUUUUUUUUUGAAACCUCUCAUUUGAGUACAACUGCUCCACUACUGUAUUCACUAGGAAGAGGAAGACCUUUUAGUCAAACUGCCAUGAACCUCUUCCUUGGACAACACCAAUGGCCACACCACAAACGCAGCAACCGAUACUUGAUUUUGGGCUUUUUUGUUCUCGUGGGCCUUUCUGCUUUGGCUUCAGUGUUCAGUUACGGGCCUUGGUACAACAUCUGGGCAAACAUGGUUGGUGACCAAACGUUGAUGGGAAUUUUUAGUUGAAAAGUAACGCUGUGUUGCAGCUUCGCUCUUUUUUUUUUCUUUUUUCUGAAAAUGCUGGCAGAAAAUGCCAGACAAAUAUUUUAAUAUAGAAGAGGUGCUUCGCUCCUUUUUUUCAUUUAGUAUAUAGUAUCUUUUUAUUUACUACUGAAUCCUAUACUUGGAUCUUUUUCUUCCUUUUCUACAUAGAUGUAAGCACUUGGAAAUCUAUCAUGAUUUAACUGCCACGUGUUAACACUAUCUAAAAAUCCUGCUUAGUGUCAGCGUGUUAUUGUCCAUUACCAAAGUUAACAUUAUCUAAAAAACCUACUUAGUGUCAACGUGUAUUGUCCAUUACCAAAAAGUAAACAAUAAAAUCAAUCCAGAAUAUUUUUUUAAAAAAAAUUGCUUCUUCAGUCCAAUUCGGCUUACAUAGGUGUGCAUUUUUAUCCAUUUGCCCUUUUGGUAAACACGAAAAGGAGCAACGUAUUGUUUACAGCUCCAGUACAAAUUAAGCAAAGCUUGUCCAUAACAGACGUUGCUACAGCUGAGUAGAGCCAAGUGUGAUAAAAAUAAACAUAUAUGUAAACUCAGCCAAAAUACUUUGCCAAGACUAUUUGUUCAUACAACACCCCUACACCAAACAAAGCACAAAAAACAAUCACAAAGGCGAUCCUUCUGUCUCUUUGUUCUAUGGUGAGAGCACUGAAUUUGUGAAUGUACAGAAUUGGCCUCCUCUUGGAAUUGGCCCUUCUAAAUCAUUAUUAGAAACAUUAUAUUGAUUGUACAGAGAAAGUGGAGGUUGUUAAGGUCUGAUGGGAUUGCACCUGUGGGAAGGUUGUUUGACAAGUCUAGCACUUGCAGAUUUUCCAGGCUGCAGAGCUGCACCGGAAUUUCUCCGGAGAAGCUGUUAGAGCUGCGAUUGAGUAUACUGAGCAAUUUCAACUGACUAAUUUCUUUAGGGAUCGCUCUAGCCAAGAUUCAGCAUAUUUGGAAAGCCACUGAUUAUCCAGUACUCAAAUGAUAUACCUCUGUAAACAAGUAGCACAAACGUACUUCGAUCCAAAUGGGUUGCAGUAUUUUCUGUAGUUAGCAUAGGCAUCUCCAUUAGCACUGUCGGUAUUUCCCCUGUAAGUUUGUUAUAUGAUAGGUCUAGAUGGAAAAGUGACUGUAAGCUGUUUAUCCAGGCAGGUGUAUUGGUCCACUGAGUUGGUUACCUUGCAGAAACAACACAUUCAGAUUCUUCAGCUUUGAUAGCCAAGGCGGUUAUCGUUUCUGUUGCUUGUUGCUGGUGCUGCUUAUGUUUCUGUUGCUAGUAGCUCCUGGCUGGCUGCUGCUGCUGCACGUACGUUUUCUCUUGAUGAAGCCAUGGCAGAAAGUACCGUUGUCUGAUUUGUUGUGAGAAAAAACACUGUUGAAUGGCUGACAGAUUCGACUGAUAAGCUCAAGCGAACAAACAGCAGUCAAGAUAGAAAUGACUCCCUUUUUAAAACGGUAAAAAAUGAAGCUAAAAGGUUAUGUCGCUGUAGCUGUAUUUGAAGGGCAUGUUGCCCGUCGUGCAAGGAAAGCACGGUCGAUGUGUACGGGUCUGAAUUCUCUGCUGAAAUCUCUAGUUGUCGCAUGCGUCAGUCGGUACUAAACCCGGCUGCCAAUUCCCUGAAAGACACAGGCAGUUUUUUUUUACAAGCAAAAGACAGGGCAGUUUUUUUUUUGACAAGUGACAGGGCAGUUGAUCCACCAAGAAUUUGCAGCUCUCUCUUGUCUCCUCAGCCUUGUGAGUUGUGAUGAGUUGUGAUACUUCAGUCUGAAUCUCAAGUCAGAAAGAGUGGUCUGCUAAUGCAACUGUCUCCUCAGCCUUGUGGGUUGUGAUGGAGUUGUGAUACUUCAGUCUGAAUCUCAAGCCAGAAAGAGUGGUCUGCUAAUGCAAUGGUGCUUGACAUGUUGGAGUGAGACAUCUUUUGCAGCAGUGAAGUAAUUGUUGUUUCCUCCUUUUGCAGCAGUGAAGUAAUUAAUUUUUCCAAAUUACACUCAUGUCCUCAGUGUCUCAUAUGUGGCCUUGAGUUAUGACCCAUGAUCACACAAGUUAAAAUAACUCGAGUCUAAUGAUGAUCGAUUCAGAGUGCGAUUCCAAGAGGUAUUACGCCACGCCCUCCAUAUAUCAUACGUGAUCUGGACUCACGACCCAUGCUCAUACUACGAGCUAGAGCAACUCGCAUCUAGCAAUGAUAUGAAGUUUUGGUUUCCAUACGUAUUGGACUUUGUUGUAACAUACUAGCACGUUUGCUAGUACUUUAUAAAUCACAUACUAGUAGGUUUCCCUCUUGGUUUGUCGGUUCGUAGGCAAUGAAGGAUGCAUGUUCAAUUUUGACAAACACGUGUGAAUGGUUAAAGGAAGCUUGAUUCACAAAUUACUGCAACACCAUAUACUGUUUUUUCAUCUAAAAAGAAAUAUAACAACAUACAGCAAUCUAACUAAUGACCGGCAAUUUUGUCGAUAAAAGAAGUUUUAUUAUAAUUCAAGUUUAUUACAUCGAGUUGAUAUAAAGAUCUUAAAACACUCCUAUCUCCAUUGUCAACAGUAGAGCGGAGACUGCGGAGCCGUGCCAAACGUGCCCUAAUUAUUUGUAUUGGUGUACCCAAAGGUAAAUCCCGAUCCCUUGAGUGCCUCCUCGACGAUGCCAUCCAGCCUCGCUGCCAUCUCCGGCGACAUGUGGUUCCUCCAGUCCCCCAUGAUCCCCUUCCUGAAGAAAUGCUUGUUGUCCACGACUUGUGUCACCAAGCCCUCCCGAGCGUUGACGUAGGCGUAAGCUCCGGUCUUGUUCACCGCCAGGCUCCGCUGCUUGUCCAGGCUGCACAGUUCAAGGAUGGCGCGCACGACGCCGGCGUCCUCCUCCGCCGCCGAGAACGGGCACCCCAUGAACUCCGCCAUCUUCUUCAGGUUGCCCACCGGGUCCUGCAGCAUCUCCUCGUACCUGAGGAACAGCACGCUCCCUGGCGUCCUCUUGCUCGCCUCCCAGUACUCGCGGACGUGCUCCCACUGCGGGCCCAGCCCGCAGUGGCCUUGGCAGUAGAGCUCGAACACCUCCUCGAAGGUGGCUCCUGCCGCCGCCGCUGUCGGGCGCUCGCCGCGUUCUACGGCCGCGCUCGACGUCCGCAAGCUCACAUCGAAAUGCCACGUGGAGACCAGCGUGUCCUUGGGGUCUCUGGCGAUGUACACGAUCCGGCACCCGCCGCCGUCCGCCGUCGCUCGUCUCGGGAGCAGGGAGUAGGGCAUGUGCGUGCCGAGGAGACGCGGCGCCGCCGCCGCCGCCGUCGUGCCGCCGUCGUCAUCGCUUUCUACGGAUGACGACCAACGUAGAGUGUCGAGGAACGCGACGCACUCGUGGGAGUUGGUGGAGAGGAGAGGGUGGGCGGCGUCGAGCGGCGAGUGGACGGACCGGCGCGCCGUGGCGAAGGCGAGGGCCUUGAGCCAGGUGGUGCCGCUCUUGGGGAAGCUCGCCAGGAGGAUGUCGGCGGGCCGGCGCUCCUCGAACAAGGCGUGGGCUCUCGGGAGGUUCAGCAGGAAGCCGGUGGGGACCCAGAACCCGCGGUACAGACGGACGUUAGGAAAAAUCGAGCACGGUGGCCCUCUGGGAAGAGACGCCACGAUCUCGGCGAAGUUCGCCGGGAAGACGUCGUCGUGGGGCAGUGCCGGGGACUCG
rnacentral:lncRNA from 1 species